rnacentral:tRNA from 1 species
GGUUGUGGCUCAGUGGUAGAGCACUUGCCUUCUAUGCAUGAGGCACUAGGUUCAAUCCCUGGCACCA